rnacentral:rRNA from 1 species
AGAGUUUGAUUCUGGCUCAGGAUGAACGCUAGCGACAGGCUUAACACAUGCAAGUCGAGGGGCAGCACGGUGUAGCAAUACACUGGUGGCGACCGGCGCACGGGUGAGUAACACGUGUGCAACCACCCCCGUACCGGGAGAUAACCCGCGGAAACGUGGACUAACAUCCCAUAACACUGGAAGAUCGCAUGAUCUUCCAUUUAAAAUUCCGGUGGUACGGGACGGGCACGCGCGACAUUAGGUAGUUGGCGGGGUAAUGGCCCACCAAGCCGACGAUGUCUAGGGGUUCUGAGAGGAAGGUCCCCCACACUGGAACUGAGACACGGUCCAG